rnacentral:rRNA from 1 species
UACGUAGGGGGCAAGCGUUGUCCGGAAUCAUUGGGCGUAAAGAGCGUGUAGGCGGUCCGGUAAGUCGGCUGUGAAAGUCCAGGGCUCAACCCUGGGAUGCCGGUGGAUACUGUCGGGCUUGAGUCCGGAAGGGGCGAGUGGAAUUCCUGGUGUAGCGGUGAAAUGCGCAGAUAUCAGGAGGAACACCAAUGGCGAAGGCAGCUCGCUGGAACGGUACUGACGCUGAGGCGCGAAAGCGUGGGGAGCGAACAGG